rnacentral:rRNA from 1 species
AUUGAACGCUGGCGGCAGGCCUAACACAUGCAAGUCGAACGAGUGGCGGACGUGUGAGAUAUGUCUGUGAAACUGCCUGAUGGAGGGGGAUAACUAUUGUAAACGGUAGCUAAUACCGCUUACCAUCGGAUGUUCCGCGAUGGGAUUAGCUAGUAGGUGGGGUAAAGGAUCACCUAGGCGACGAUCCCUAGCUGGUCUGAGAGGAUGACAAGCGACACUGGCAGUGGGACACGGUCCAGACUCCGACGGGAGGAAGCAGCGGGGAAUAUUGCACAAUGGGAGAAAGCCUGAAGCAGCCAUGCCGCGUGUAUGAAGAAGGCCUUCGGGUUGUAAAGUACUUUCAGCGGGGAGGCGUUACCCGCAGAAAAAGCACCGGCUAACUCCGUGCCAGCAGCCGCGGUAAUAC